UGGGGAAUAUUGGACAAUGGGCGAAAGCCUGAUCCAGCCAUGCCGCGUGUGUGAAGAAGGUCUUCGGAUUGUAAAGCACUUUAAGUUGGGAGGAAGGGCAUUAACCUAAUACGUUAGUGUUUUGACGUUACCGACAGAAUAAGCACCGGCUAACUCUGUGCCAGCAGCCGCGGUAAUACAGAGGGUGCAAGCGUUAAUCGGAAUUACUGGGCGUAAAGCGCGCGUAGGUGGUUUGUUAAGUUGGAUGUGAAAGCCCCGGGCUCAACCUGGGAACUGCAUCCAAAACUGGCAAGCUAGAGUACGGUAGAGGGUGGUGGAAUUUCCGGUGUAGCGGUGAAAUGCGUAGAUAUAGGAAGGAACACCAGUGGCGAAGGCGACCACCUGGACUGAUACUGACACUGAGGUGCGAAAGCGUGGGGAGCAAACA
rnacentral:rRNA from 1 species